rnacentral:tRNA from 1 species
GGUGGCUCAGUGGUAGAGCGCUUGCCUCGCAUGCACGACGCCCUGGGUUCGAUUCCUCAGCACCA